CCUCCUGCUUAUGCUGCCGCCGUCUCCUGUGUGCAGGUGUGCGCCGGUCUCCGGCAGGGCUUUUUGCCCUUGCACUCCUCCGAUGCUGGUGCUCUGGGCGUUCCAUUCGACCCGUCUUGAAACACGGACCAAGGAGUCUAACAUGUAUGCGAGCCUGCGGGUGAUAGACCUUGCUAGGCGAAAGGAAACUGAUCUGUGGGAUCCCCAAUCGGGGUGCACCAUUGACCGACCUUGAUCUUCUGUGAAAGGUUCGAGUGAUAGUAUACCUGUUAGGACCCGAAAGAUGGUGAACUAUGCCUGAGCAGGGCGAAGCCAGAGGAAACUCUGGUGGAGGCUCGUAGCGAUACUGACGUGCAAAUCGUUCGUUGGACUUGGGUAUAGGGGCGAAAGACUAAUCGAACCAUCUAGUAGCUGGUUCCGGCUGAAGUUUCCCUCAGGAUAGCUGGAGCUCAUUUCGAGUUUUAUCGGGUAAAGCGAAUGAUUAGAGGCCUCGGGGGUGAAACACCCUCGACCUAUUCUCAAACUUUAAAUAGGUAAAGUGUCAGGG
rnacentral:rRNA from 1 species